rnacentral:rRNA from 1 species
UGGGGAAUAUUGGACAAUGGGCGAAAGCCUGAUCCAGCCAUGCCGCGUGUGUGAAGAAGGUCUUCGGAUUGUAAAGCACUUUAAGUUGGGAGGAAGGGCAGUAAGCGAAUACCUUGCUGUUUUGACGUUACCGACAGAAUAAGCACCGGCUAACUCUGUGCCAGCAGCCGCGGUAAUACAGAGGGUGCAAGCGUUAAUCGGAAUUACUGGGCGUAAAGCGCGCGUAGGUGGUUCGUUAAGUUGAAUGUGAAAGCCCCGGGCUCAACCUGGGAACUGCAGCCAAAACUGGCGAGCUAGAGUAGGGCAGAGGGUGGUGGAAUUUCCUGUGUAGCGGUGAAAUGCGUAGAUAUAGGAAGGAACACCAGUGGCGAAGGCGACCACCUGGGCUCAUACUGACACUGAGGUGCGAAAGCAUGGGGAGCAAACAGG